GCAAGUCGAACGGUAACAGGCCGCUGUGAUCUCUUCGGAGUGAACUUGGCGCUGACGAGUGGCGGACGGGUGAGUAAUACAUAGGAAUCGAGCUAGUAGUGGGGGAUAACUAGGAGAAAUCCAGGCUAAUACCGCAUAUGUCCUACGGGGCAAAGCAGGGGACCCUCUGGCCUUGCGCUAGUGGAUGAGCCUAUGUCGGAUUAGCUAGUUGGUGGGGUAAAGGCCUACCAAGGCAGCGAUCCGUAGCUGGUCUGAGAGGAUGAUC
rnacentral:rRNA from 1 species